UACGAAGGGGGCUAGCGUUGUUCGGAAUUACUGGGCGUAAAGGGCGCGUAGGCGGUGUGUCAAGUCAGGCGUGAAAGCCCCGGGCUCAACCCGGGAACUGCGUCCGAUACUGGGAGGCUUGGAAUUCGGGAGGAGGGAUGCAGAAUUCCAGGUGUAGCGGUGAAAUGCGUAGAUAUCUGGAGGAAUACCGGUGGCGAAGGCGGCCAACUGGUCCGGUACUGACGCUGAGGUGCGAAAGCGUGGGGAGCAAACAGG
rnacentral:rRNA from 1 species